AUUAAAGACCCUUGGAUGUUAAUUUGCAUAUAUCUUCCAGGGAAAAACUCUUUAAAAAAAGUUUAUUAGAGAUAAUUUUGCUUGACACAUUGUGUUGUCACAUGGAAGUUUAAAGAAUCUGGAAACUUGUCAAAGUUCCAAAUUUACUCCCUUACCUUCUGCUACUUUCUAUUUUUAAUCUGAAUGUAAGAAAUAGAGACGUUAUCUUACUGUGGUUUUGUUCUCGUUGAGUUAUGAAGAAAUUGUUGUUUGGGGAGAUGAGGAUUAUGUUAAGGUGAAAAAUAUUUAUGAAAAUACAAGUCAUAAUUGCACAUUCUCUUGGCUUAAGAUAGAGUUUCCAUAGCCCAUCAGGCUAAUAAUUUGAGCAUAUUGCUGUACAACUCUAAUAGCAAACAAAUGAGCUCUACACUCACUGAAUACUACUAGUGAUGUUUUAUACACAUCACACUUACUUCUUUCUGUACUUUAAAUGCAAAUGAUUGUCAUUUUUUUCAUACCAGAGGGAUACUGCUUUAUAAUCUGCAUUGGAAUUUUAUUCUUACUUUACUACACCAGAAAGCAGUAAACUUUAUUCUAACUUUAUCUUUCUUAGUUCCUCUUCAAAGCUUUGAAAUGUUACGUUUCUGAAGGAAAGUUCAUUUUUGUGUUAUUCAUAUGUAUGAACCUGUGAACCAUUUUGUUUGUUUUCUGUAUAGAUAACCAUGAUUAUAUGUGGACACUUUGGCAGAGAGGGACAAGGAGCAACUAAUUGGUUAUCUCUGCUAAAUCUUUUUUUUCCCCCCACUUUUUCCAACAUUUUAACAUCAUCUAUGUUUAUAAGGGAUAUUGAUCUGUAGUUUUCUUGGGAUGGUUUUUGUCUGGUUUUGAUAUUAAAGUGACUCUGGCUUCACUCAAUGAAUUGGAAAUCGUUUUCUCAUUUUAUUUUUGUCUUCCAAGUCAAUUUCUCCUCCUCCUCCUUUUCUUCUUCUUCUUCAUCAUCAUCAUCAUCAUCACUGAAGCUAUCAGGAAUGGAGUUUUUGUGUGAGAACAUUAUUAAUUACUACUUCACUUUUUUUAAUUUACAUUGGAGUAUUUAGAUUUUCUGUUUUGUCUUCAUUCAAUUUGAUAGUUUCUACCCCUCAUAAAUUUGUCUAUUUCAUUUAAGAUGUUACAUAUAAUAGUGUUAAACAUUUGUAAUAUUC
rnacentral:lncRNA from 1 species